GACGUAGGGGGCGAGCGUUGUCCGGAAUUACUGGGCGUAAAGAGCACGUAGGCGGAUGUUUAAGUCAGGUGUGAAAGACCGCAGCCCAACUGCGGGGUUGCACUUGAAACUGAAUGUCUUGAGGGCAGGAGAGGUCAGUAGAAUUCCUGGUGUAGCGGUGAAAUGCGUAGAAAUCAGGAGGAAUACCAGUGGCGAAGGCGACUGACUGGACUGACCCUGACGCUGAGGUGCGAAAGCGUGGGUAGCAAACAGG
rnacentral:rRNA from 1 species